AUUGAACGCUGGCGGCAUGCCUUACACAUGCAAGUCGAACGGCAGCGGACCUUCGGGUGCCGGCGAGUGGCGAACGGGUGAGUAAUAUAUCGGAACGUACCUUUCAGUGGGGGAUAACGUAGCGAAAGUUACGCUAAUACCGCAUAUUCUGUGAGCAGGAAAGCAGGGGAUCGCAAGACCUUGCGCUGAUUGAGCGGCCGAUAUCAGAUUAGCUAGUUGGUGAGGUAAAGGCUCACCAAGGCGACGAUCUGUAGCGGGUCUGAGAGGAUGAUCCGCCACACUGGAACUGAGACACGGUCCAGACUCCUACGGGAGGCAGCAGUGGGGAAUUUUUGGACAAUGGGCGCAAGCCUGAUCCAGCCAUGCCGCGUGAGUGAUGAAGCUUCUUGGAGUGUAAAACCCUGUCAGUGGGAAGAACCGUAUGCGGAGUAACUGCCGCAUACCUGACGGUACCCGCAGAGGAAGCUCCGG
rnacentral:rRNA from 1 species